rnacentral:lncRNA from 1 species
CUCUGAGUUAAGUUCGCUAAUUUGUGUCCUAAUUGUGAAAAUUUGUUAAAGAAGAUGAAAAUCUUUUUGGCUACAAUUUUAAGCCUUCUUUAAAAGGUCAACAAAAUAGCUAAGAGAGAGUUAAAAAAUAUAUAGGUCUAAAGAAAUUAAUUUACCGAAAGGUAAAGUACUCAAAGGCCAUUACAAACAUAUUGCUUUAAAGUUCUAAUAUUUUAUGCCUUUAGAUUACACUGUCUUACUUACUUUUUCGUUGGAAAGUUUUAACGAAUAUAUUAAUACUUGUUUAAAAAAUAGAGAAAUAGGAAGAUUAGCCGUUGUAGGACGUCAGAUUUUAUCCACUCUAGAUAGAAAUAAAGGUGAUCCCACUUUAUAGAUCAAGAAGCAAAUCACUGAGAUCUCUAUCUCUCAGUGUCGGAGCUCCUUGAUAAAAGAUCCUAAAUAUUCUAAAGAAAGACAACAAUGAGCAAAGAUUAUAAGAGAAAUAAUAAAAGAAAUUCCAGCAGAACUAAUUAGACAUUUUUAGCAAUUGAACUUUAGUAACAAAGAUAAAAU